rnacentral:rRNA from 1 species
CCAGACUCCUACGGGAGGCAGCAGUGGGGAAUAUUGGGCAAUGGGCGCAAGCCUGACCCAGCGACGCCGCGUGAGGGAAGACGGUCUUCGGAUUGUAAACCUCUUUCAGCAGGGAAGACAAAAGGACGGUACCUGCAGAAGAAGCCACGGCUAACUACGUGCCAGCAGCCGCGGUCAUACGUAGGAUCCGAGCAUUAUCCGGAGUGACUGGGUGUAAAGAGUUGCGUAGGUGGCAUAAUAAGUAGCUAGUGAAAUCUGGUGGCUCAACCAUUCAGACUAUUAGCUAAACUGUUAAGCUCGAGACCGUUAGGGGUAACUGGAAUUUCUAGUGUAGGGUUGAAAUCCGUAGAUAUUAGAAGGAACACCAAUAGCGUAGGCAGGUUACUGGGACGGUUCUGACACUAAGGCACGAAAGCGUAGGGAGCAAACGGGAUUAGAUACCCUUGUA